rnacentral:rRNA from 1 species
CUAAGAAUAUUCCGCAAUGGACGGAAGUCUGACGGAGCGACGCCGCGUGGAUGACGAAGGCCGAAAGGUUGUAAAGUUCUUUUGCUGGGGAAGAAUAACCGCAGGAGGGAAUGCCUGUGGGAUGACAAGAACCGGCGAAUAAGCCCCGGCCAACUACGUGCCAGCAGCCGCGGUAACACGUAGGGGGCGAGCGUUGUUCGGAAUUACUGGGCGGAAAGGGCAUGUAGGCGGCUUGGAAAGCCUGGCGUGAAAGUCUGCAGCUUAACUGCAGGGGUGCGCUGGGAACUGCUGAGCUUGAGUGACGGAGAGGGAGCUGGAAUUCCUGGUGUAGGGGUGAAAUCUGUAGAUAUCAGGAAGAACACCGAUGGCGAAGGCAAGCUCCUGGCCGAUGACUGACGCUGAGGUGCGAAAGUGUGGGGAUCAAACA